GAUGAACGCUAGCGGCAGGCCUAACACAUGCAAGUCGAGGGGUAUAGGUUUUCGGACCUAGAGACCGGCGCACGGGUGCGUAACGCGUAUGCAAUCUGCCUUGUACUGAGGGAUAGCCCAGAGAAAUUUGGAUUAAUACCUCAUAGUAUAACGAAAUCGCAUGGUUUUGUUUUUAAAGUUCCAACGGUACAAGAUAAGCAUGCGUCCUAUUAGCUAGUUGGUGUGGUAACGGCACACCAAGGCAACGAUAGGUAGGGGUCCUGAGAGGGAGAUCCCCCACACUGGUACUGAGACACGGACCAGACUCCUACGGGAGGCAGCAGUGAGGAAUAUUGGUCAAUGGGCGCAAGCCUGAACCAGCCAUGCCGCGUGCAGGAAGACGGUCCUAUGGAUUGUAAACUGCUUUUGUACGGGAAGAAACACUCCUACGUGUAGGAGCAUGACGGUACUGUAAGAAUAAGCACCGGCUAACUACGUGCCAGCAGCCGCAGUAAUAC
rnacentral:rRNA from 1 species